rnacentral:rRNA from 1 species
UACGUAGGCAGCAAGCGUUGAUCGGAAUUACUGGGCGUAAAGGGCUCGCAGGCGGCCAACUAAGUCAGACGUGAAAUCCCUCGGCUUAACCGGGGAACUGCGUCUGAUACUGGAUGGCUUGAGGUUGGGAGAGGGAUGCGGAAUUCCAGGUGUAGCGGUGAAAUGCGUAGAUAUCUGGAGGAACACCGGUGGCGAAGGCGGCAUCCUGGACCAAUUCUGACGCUGAGGAGCGAAAGCCAGGGGAGCAAACGGG